rnacentral:rRNA from 1 species
GAGUUUGAUCCUGGCUCAGGAUGAACGCUGGCGGCGUGCCUAACACAUGCAAGUCGAACGGAGUUAAACGCUGAAUUGAUGGUAGCUUGCUAUUGGAUUUUCUUGUUUAACUUAGUGGCGGACGGGUGAGUAACACGUGAGCAACCUGCCUUUCAGAGGGGGAUAACGGCUGGAGACGGUCGCUAAUACCGCAUGACAUAUUCGAGUGGCAUCGCUUGAAUAUCAAAGGAGCAAUCCGCUGAAAGAUGGGCUCGCGUCUGAUUAGGUAGUUGGCGGGUAACGGCCCACCAAGCCGACGAUCAGUAGCCGACCUGAGAGGGUGACC